UACGGAGGGUGCAAGCGUUGUCCGGAUUUAUUGGGUUUAAAGGGUGCGUAGGCGGCCCGUUAAGUCAGUGGUGAAAUCCCAGGGCUCAACCCUGGAACUGCCAUUGAUACUAUUAGUCUUGAAUUCGGUCGAGGUUGGCGGAAUGUGUCGUGUAGCGGUGAAAUGCUUAGAUAUGACACAGAACACCGAUUGCGAAGGCAGCUAGCUAGACCGACAUUGACGCUGAGGCACGAAAGCGUGGGGAUCAAACAGG
rnacentral:rRNA from 1 species